AGAGAGAGAGAGAGAGAGAGAGAGAGAGAGAGAUGGUAUAUAAGCCCUAGUUCCUAGCAAUUCUCAAUCACUUCCCAGCCAUGAUCGCUCAGGUGUUACUUCUAGCCGGUGUGGUUGCAGCUGCACCUGCACCUGCGCCCGAGACCCUCGAAUUCGUCGACCCCAAUCCUGCCUAUUCAGUGGCCUGGGAACUCAAGGACGGCCCCACUUUCCUCGACAGUUCCCGCAGAGAAACUCUCAAGGAUGGAACAGUGGAAGGACAGUACUCUUACCUGAGGCCUGACGGUAAGCUCCAAGUGGUCACCUACACGGCCAGUGAGGACACGGGCUUUGUGGCCAACAUGGAGGUCAAGGAUGUGAUGGAGCCCUUUGGCGAAGCAGGUAAUCCUGGAUUUGCUAAUGGCAGGUCACUGACGUCAGGUGGAUCAUCAACUUUUGAUCCUUUCUCCUCCUCCUCCUCCUCUCUUCUUCUUCUUCUUCUUCCUUGUCCAGUCUGGAUUUCCUGUCAACAGGGAAAUCUCUCCUCAAUAGUGGGGGUUCCUCCUCAAGCGUUGGCCAUACUUCAUCAUCGUCGUCACACCUGGGCAAUUUCAACAGUGGGUCCUCUGGAUUCACAGUGGCGAGUACUGUAACUCCCGUACCAGUUCCCCAUAACAUCCAUUCUACUCCCUCAUCAACUCAGUUUGUCCAGCAGGUCCCAGGAAUCCAGUCUUCCUUCGUACCACCUUCUCCAAUAGUUCAUCGAUCUCACGGUGAAAACCCUCCAGCUUUCUUGUCCAGAGAUGCUCAGAGCGGCUUCGUACCGAUCACCUCCCCUCCCGUCGUCCAUUCCACAAGCUCUGUAGUUUCCAGUCCCCUUCCCCUUCCAGGCCAGCCAACCCCAGUCAGUCGAGGCCGAAGUUUCUUAGGUUCGUCUCCCUUCAACGGCGACAGCACGAAUUCGGGAGUAGCCCACGUGUCCUUCAACUCACCAACUCAUCAGUAUUCGUAUCCUCUUAACGUUGUUGUCUGAAGAGUAAAUGACCACAUGAUGAUGAACAUGAGCGUUUCUGUAUGAGCCUGUGCGCUGACAUUAUGUAGGCGUUGUGUUUUUUUUGUGUGAAUAGUUUUUACAAAUAUUCCUGCCAUUUAAAAUUCUUCUAUUCAGCAACGGAGAUUCAGAUGUGUAAUGUCCAAGAUAAGUUUCAAAUCAGUAUAACGAAAUACGUAGCAGGAGUACAGGUAAAAGGCUAUUCUGUUAUUUUAUUUAUUGUUUAACAGAGAAUUUCUCAAUUUGUCUCGGCUUAUCUCCCAAGACAGUACAUGUCAAAUGUCCAACAUGUAUUGUUUCUUCAGUUCCAAAAGUAAAUUUCAAACAGUAGCCAUAUUGUAAAUAUGAGUGUAGUUUAACUAUUGUUUGUAAAUAGCCCAAACUUACGUUAUUACAUUAAAAACUAAGGUUCUGGAUAACACAUUCUGAUUGAAAUAAUUAUUACUUUAAACUCAUAUUGUACAAAAAGCUGUAACUACAGUAUAUAUGAAUAAAGAUAAAAUAUUAAUGCA